UUUGGAACUAAAGAAGUACUUAAUUGAGAAAAGCCAUAGCCAUCAGAAAAACAAAAUCUCCUCCGACUUGGAGGGAGGAACAGAAACCCAAGAGGCAGGACAGACUCCCUUGAGGCACAGAAACCUUGUUAUUACGCUCGCAUUUGCCAAAUUUCUUAAGGGCUCUGAUAAUUUUGAGCACUAUUGGCAAUUGCUACGAUUUGCCAAUUGAAAUUCCUUUCUUUUCAGUUGGUAUUUGAUACAGAAUCAGACAUGGUUCAUUGCACAUUCUCUGGGUAAAUUUCAUCUAUGGUACCUAAACUUAAAGUAAUGUAACAACACGGUAUUUAAACUUUAAUUUGUAAUAUAAAACCUUCUGAAUUUUAAUUUG
rnacentral:misc_RNA from 1 species